AGUGGGAUCCUGUUUUAAAAAAAAAAAAUAAAAAGAUUCUCAAAGAGAAUCUGCUGGUCUUGAUUCACUGGUCGGGGCCUUCAGUGUCCUGCUAGUGCCCAGAUCAGAAACACGG